GUCUAUGGCCAUACUACCCUGAAUGUGCCCAAUCUUGUCUGAUAUCAAAAACCAAGCAGAGUCAGGUCUGUUUAGUACUUGAAUGGAAGACCUUCUGGGAAUACUGGGUGCUGUAGGCU
rnacentral:rRNA from 1 species